ACUAGCUUGCACUUGCAAAAUAGGCAUAACAGCAGCUGAGUAAAAUCCAAAUUAGAAAAUUUUAUGGUGUAAAUAGACCUUGUGUUGUGGGAGAUUAGCCCAAAUGCAUAUAACUUGCAAUUACACAAACUUCCUUUUAGAAAACUUUAUGAUUUGUUUUCUUGAUGUAUUCUUGCGGACGAAUCACAUAUACCAAGCUAAGUCGGAGUAUUGUUUAUUUCUCAAGAUCAAACAUUAGAUCAUCUCUGUCUGGACUAUCCUAUAUUCUGCUGGAUUUUGUUUUAGAAGGUGCCUCUCGACUGGUCUUUAACCGGCCCGGAACAUAUUGGUUUGCAGGUGAUUUCAGUGUCUGGUCCACCAUCAAGAUAUGCUGAGAAGUGGCUAGAAGAUCAGCAUUAUUCAUCUUUUUGCCAGGUUAAAUGUACUUGAAUAUUCACUUCCAUGUUAGUGAAUCAAAUGUGACUUUAUUCUCUUUUUUUCUUUUUUGUAUCAUAGGUUAUAUGCGUCUGACAUUUAUAGCAGUUCUCCAGUUUUUCAAUAUUUGAGGUUUAUUUGAUUCCUUCUUUAGACAAGUAGGAAAAUCUAUGCAAUAUCAAAGGGUGCUCAAAAUUAAUAGUUUAAUUACUUAACAUGUCCAAGCACAUUGUAUUGCGGAGGUAGUGUAAGAAACACAUACACUUCUAAAAAAGUAUGUGUCUAUGUUGGAGAAUGACACUUGGACAUGCUUUAUGCCAAUGACACUCCUCAUGCUCUAAGCCUCCUACACAUUUCAGACAUGCCCCGAUAUGUGUUGGACAUGCAUUCAAACAUGUUCUAUUAUUUGAAAAAAAAAAAAGAA